rnacentral:misc_RNA from 1 species
AACGCACAUUGCACCUCUUGUGAGGUAUGCCUGUCUGAGCGUCUUUGUAACCCAAUAGGCCUGGCGCAGCCUGGCCUGUCUUGGGCCUCGCCGGACCCCCCGGCGUCGCCUCGAUUGCAUGUCGUUGCUAACGGACGAGAUCCUGUAGGACUCUAUUCCGACUGGCGAUCGAACUGACCAAGCGUUUGACCUCAGAUCAGGUAGGAGUACCGCCUGAACUUAA